rnacentral:rRNA from 1 species
UACGUAGGGUGCGAGCGUUGUUCGGAUUCAUUGGGCGUAAAGGGUGCGUAGGUGGCGCUGUAAGUCGGGUGUGAAAUUUCGGAGCUUAACUCCGAAACUGCAUUCGAUACUGCGGUGCUUGAGGACUGGAGAGGAGACUGGAAUUCAUGGUGUAGCAGUGAAAUGCGUAGAGAUCAUGAGGAAGACCAGUGGCGAAGGCGGGUCUCUGGACAGUUCCUGACGCUGAGGCACGAAGGCCAGGGGAGCAAACGGG